rnacentral:rRNA from 1 species
UACGUAGGGGGCUAGCGUUGUCCGGAAUCAUUGGGCGUAAAGCGCGUGUAGGCGGCCCGGUAAGUCCGCUGUGAAAGUCGAGGGCUCAACCCUCGAAAGCCGGUGGAAACCGUCUGGCUAGAGUCCGGAAGAGGAGUGUGGAAUUCCUGGUGUAGCGGUGAAAUGCGCAGAUAUCAGGAAGAACACCUAUGGCGAAGGCAGCACUCUGGGACGGUACUGACGCUGAGACGCGAAAGCGUGGGGAGCGAACAGG